rnacentral:tmRNA from 1 species
GGGGAUGACAGGCUUCGACGGGAGAGGCUGUCGUUAGACUGCGAGCCGAGAGGCGCCGAUCUCGUAAAACCAGCGCAACAAACUAACUGGCACUAACUCUGCCUAUAACGCUCUUCCGCUCGCCGCCUAAUCGCGGCUAGCCGGAGCAGAUCUCAUGCGUGAGAUCCGUCCCCCGGCAGGCGCUUGCAGAUCGCAAGCCGAUGGGGCGACACAAUAGUCUGCAUGCCGUGCGAGCCGCCGUGCCUCGCGCGAAAGA